rnacentral:tRNA from 1 species
GCGGGCAUAACUCAGUGGUUAGAGUAGUUGGCUCAUAACCGAAAGGUCGAGGGUUCAAUUCCCUCUGCCCGCA